rnacentral:rRNA from 1 species
UACAGAGGUCUCAAGCGUUGUUCGGAUUCAUUGGGCGUAAAGGGUGCGUAGGUGGCGAGGUAAGUCAGGUGUGAAAUCUCGGAGCUCAACUCCGAAACUGCACUUGACACUGCCCCGCUCGAGUACUGGAGAGGAGAUUGGAAUUCCCGGUGUAGCGGUGAAAUGCGCAGAUAUCGGGAAGAACACCCAUGGCGAAGGCAGCUCUCUGGGGACGGUACUGACGCUGAGACGCGAAAGCGUGGGGAGCGAACAGG